AGGAAACUGGGAGAGAGGCUGCCCAUUGGAGAGUCUGCAGCGUAUAGCUUCUAUUUUUUGCAAAGAAAGCUAUGAAAGCCUGAAGCAAACAUCUUAGAGGCUCAGAAACCAGAAGCAAGGAACUUGAAAGUUUGAGGUUGACAGCAUUGAUCAUCUUACUCUGAAAAUAUUGUUAAAAUCUCUGAGCUUUUAUUCCAUGCUGAGGAAAAUGAGCAGAUCAAGGCCGAUUGUUGUGCAGCUCCUGUUCCUCCUUGUUAACACCACCUGAGUCUGGCUGCAUAGCAACAAAGGAGAAGCAGAUUAAUUUCUCUGAAGCCAGUUUUGUUGGUUAAAUUCACAUUAUCACCCUGAAGAAUAUACAUACUCUUUAAGGCUACAUUGCAUUUCUCAGGAAGAAACAGUAGAGAUUAAAAGAAACCAAAACAAAACAACGUCCCCUAGAAAACAAUUUCACUAGGGUGUAUUGUGGUAGCUAUGUAUCAAGAAUGUU